AUCACUUCUCAGCCUUUUGGCUAAGAUCAAGUGUAGUAUUUAUAUAUAUUUAUUUAUAUAUAUAUACUUUAUAUAUAUAUAAUAUAUUUUAAAGCUAACCUAGUUCAGUAGAAAGCAGACUGCUACUGAUUCUAGGACAUUAG
ensembl:snRNA U2 U2 spliceosomal RNA